rnacentral:misc_RNA from 1 species
UUGUUCAUCAAUAUUAUAAUGGCUACUGCAACAACAUGUUAUGGCCUCUUUUUCAUUAUCUUGGACUUCCACAAGAAGAUCGGCUUGCCACAACUAGAAGUUUUCAGUCUCAAUUUGCUGCAUAUAAGAAGGCUAAUCAAAUGUUUGCUGAUGUAGUGAAUAAGCACUAUGAAGAGGGUGAUGUUGUUUGGUGCCAUGAUUACCAUCUAAUGUUCCUCCCGAAGUGCUUAAAAGAACACAAUAGUAAUAUGAAAGGGUGUGUGGAGAAACCAACCAACUUUC